GUGUCAGCCGCCGCGGUAACACGUAGGAGGCGAACGUUAUCCGGAUUUACUGGGCGUAAAGCGCGUGUAGGUGGUUUGGUAAGUAGGGCGUGAAAGCUCCUGGCUCAACUGGGAGAGGCCGUUCUAAACUGCCGAACUAGAGGAUGGUAGAGGGAGGUGGAAUUCCGGGUGUAGCGGUGGAAUGCGCAGAUAUCCGGAGGAACACCAGUGGCGAAAGCGGCCUCCUGGACCAUUCCUGACACUCAGACGCGAAAGCUAGGGUAGCAAACGGGAUUAGAGACCCCGGUAGUCCUAGCCCUAAACGAUGUAGACUAGGCGUCGGUGGUUUAAACGCCAUCGGUGUCCAAGCUAACGCGAUAAGUCUACCGCCUGGGGACUACGGCCGCAAGGUUAAAACUCAAAGGAAUUGACGGGUCCCCGCACAAGCAGCGGAGCGUGUGGUUUAAUUCGUCGCUACACGAAGAACCUUACCUGGGUUUGACAUAGCAGUGGUAGGGAAGCGAAAGCAGACCGACCCUUCGGGGAGCUGUUACAGGUGUUGCAUGGCUGUCGUCAGCUCGUGUCGUGAGAUGUUCGGUUAAGUCCGCUAACGAGCGCAACCCUCGCUGUGUGUUACAAGUGUCACACGGUACUGCCGGUAUUAAGUCGGAGGAAGGUGGGGAUGACGUCAAGUCAGCAUGACCUUUAUAUCCAGGGCUACACACACGCUACAAUGGUCAGUACAAUAGGUUGCCAAGCCGCGAGGCGGAGCCAAUCCUAAAAAGCUGGCCUCAGUUCAGAUUGCAGUCUGCAACUCGACUGCAUGAAGUUGGAGUUGCUAGUAACCGCAGGUCAGCUAUACUGCGGUGAAUACGUUCCCGGGGAUUGUACACACCGCCCGUCAAGUCAUGGGAGCUGGCAACACCUGAAGCCCGGUAUCCUAACCCGCAAGGGGAGGGAGCUGUCAAAGGUGGGGUCGGUGACUGGGACUAAGUCGUAACAAGGUAGCC
rnacentral:rRNA from 1 species